GAGGAAUCAGUGUCGAGAAGCUGCGGAAGUACGGAGGGGGGGAGCGUUGGUCUGAGUGACUGGUGGUAAAGCGGAAGGAGGAGUAUGGGUAAGGCAGGGGUUAAAUCCUGGAGCGUAACGCCAGAACUGCCUUGUAUACUGUCGAUCGCGAGGCCGGGAGAGUUGAGUGGAACUGCGAGGGUAGAGGUGAAAUUCGUAGAGAUUCGCAAGAACACCAGUGGCGAAGGCGGCUCACUGGCCCGGUACUGACGCUGAGGUGCGAAAGCGUGGGGAGCAAACAGGAUUAGAUACCCAGUAGUC
rnacentral:rRNA from 1 species